GCAGCUGAAGUUCUGCGACCAGUUCAGGGCAAGCUGCUUCCAGAGUGUCACUGAUGAGCAAGAGCAUGUUCAAACAGGAUAACCAGCGUAAUGAGCUGUCUGGAGAUCGUGUCGUCUGAACAAUUGUUGAAAGGGCAGGAAAUUUUCUUCUCUUGUAUUUUUUUUUCUGUAAGGCAAGAGUCUUCAGGGGAACAGGGGCUGCAGAUGACACCUUCCUUCAGCAAGAUUCAUUUCUAUUCAUUUGUUGAUACUGUCAGCCUUUCAACCAUGGGAGCAUGUAUAGCCUGAGCAAUUUGCAAUUUUGUCCCAAAGUGCUGCUAACUGUGUGCUGGUGUAUUGUGCUGCCUAUGGGAAAUGGUGUUGGAUCAGCAGAAAACUGGAAAUCUUAUUUGUUUCCCUCCAGACUAGUAAGAACAGAUGCACAUUGACGACACAAAGUUUCUGCGAAUACGUAGUUUCAUGUAGGGCAUAACUUCUAUCCUGUGAUAGUACAUCAUUAAAAAGUAUCUUGCUUCUUAAAACUUCUGCACUGCAGCAAGACGGUAUCACACUGACUUCCUGAUCAUGUCCUUUUGGCAAGAUAAAAAACUAACCCUUGGGUUCAAACAAUAAAUGAGGAGUCUGGGUAGUACAUGAAGUAGUCACAGGUGAUAUCUACAUUUCUUUAUUGCAUUCUGAUUUUUUCAAUAUUGCAUUGCAGUGCUAACUCAAUUUCAUACCACCGCAAAACUAUGGUAAACCAUAGUGUUUGAGUUAAAAGUGCUCCUGUGUCUCUGCAAUAGUAUCCAAAACUAAGAGCUGUAAAUUAGUUAAUAGACUACUUAUUUUCAUUUGGGGAACAGGAAUGAAAACAUUGUGAAGUAAAUCAUCUAGUAAAGAUGACACUACAUUGAGCACACAGGUAUUAAACAUACAAAUGAUUGGCAUUAAACAUUCUUUUUACAAGCUGGUACU
rnacentral:lncRNA from 1 species